GACCAGACUCCUACGGGAGGCAGCAGUGAGGAAUAUUGGUCAAUGGCCGUAAGGCUGAACCAGCCAAGUCGCGUGAAGGAAGAAGGAUCUAUGGUUUGUAAACUUCUUUUAUAGGGGAAUAAAGGUAUCCACGUGUGGAUAUUUGCAUGUACCCUAUGAAUAAGCAUCGGCUAACUCCGUGCCAGCAGCCGCGGUAAUACGGAGGAUGCGAGCGUUAUCCGGAUUUAUUGGGUUUAAAGGGUGCGUAGGCGGAUUUUUAAGUCAGCGGUAAAAUGUCCGGGCUCAACCCGGGCCGGCCGUUGAAACUGAGGAUCUUGAGUGGGCGAGAAGUAUGCGGAAUGCGUGGUGUAGCGGUGAAAUGCAUAGAUAUCACGCAGAACUCCGAUUGCGAAGGCAGCAUACCGGCGCCCGACUGACGCUGAGGCACGAAAGCGUGGGGAUCGAACAGGAUUAGAUACCCGAGUA
rnacentral:rRNA from 1 species